UACGAAGGGGGCUAGCGUUGCUCGGAAUCACUGGGCGUAAAGCGCACGUAGGCGGAUUGUUAAGUCAGGGGUGAAAUCCUGGAGCUCAACUCCAGAACUGCCUUUGAUACUGGCGAUCUCGAGUCCGGGGAGAGGUGAGUGGAACUGCGAGUGUAGAGGUGAAAUUCGUAGAUAUUCGCAAGAACACCAGUGGCGAAGGCGGCUCACUGGCCCGGUACUGACGCUGAGGUGCGAAAGCGUGGGGAGCAACAGG
rnacentral:rRNA from 1 species